AUUGAGUCACUUCUAUGACCAAGACACUAUUCCUGGCAUUGUGGGGAGAUUGAAGUCAAUGAGGAUGAACAAUUCCUGCCAUCCAGCAGCAUGCAGAUCAAUCUUUCCUUGUAAACAUCUUUGGAGCCUUCAGCUCUGCGCUACUUUUGAGCCUUUGCCAUUGCCGUGUGCGCCUUGGAGCCUCACAAACUCCUUCCUGACUGGACACCUGCUCUGCUUCAGCCACACCCUUCAGUCCUUAAGGGAAGGUUUGCUAAGCAGGAGAGCCCAGGGGAGCUCUGUCUCGUGAG
rnacentral:lncRNA from 1 species